rnacentral:rRNA from 1 species
UACGAAGGGGGCUAGCGUUGCUCGGAAUUACUGGGCGUAAAGGGCGCGUAGGCGGGUUGCUAAGUUAGAGGUGAAAGCCCAGGGCUCAACCCUGGAAUUGCCUUUAAUACUGGCAGCCUUGAGUAUGGCAGAGGUGUGUGGAACUCCGAGUGUAGAGGUGAAAUUCGUAGAUAUUCGGAAGAACACCAGUGGCGAAGGCGACACACUGGGCCAUUACUGACGCUGAGGCGCGAAAGCGUGGGGAGCAAACAGGG